UGAGCGGCUUCAGUAACGUACAGUAACGGGGUGUCGGUAGUGGUAACGGCGUUAUAGUGACAGUCAGAGUAAUUACUUAGAUUAAUCGUUACUGAAAAAAGUAACGGCGUUAGUAACGCCGUUUAUUUCAACGCCGUUAUUCCCAUCACUGUUCACAUGAAUGUCUGUU